ensembl:lncRNA
AUAUAAUCAUUAUCUUAUUUUUUAUUUUAAAAGUACAUAUUGUUUUAUUGAGCAUGUGUGUGUAUAUAUAUAUAUUUAUUAAUAUGGCAACUGAUUUGGUUUUCCAUUCGUUUUCCUCUACUACAAUUUACAAUAGUGAUGUAAUUUUUUUUUUUUUUUUUUUUUAGACAGGGUCUCACUUUAUUACCCAGGCUGGAGUGUAAUGGCGUGAAAAUGGUUUGCUGCAGGCUCAACGUCCCAGGCUCAAGUGAUCUUCCCACCUAAAGUAGCUGAUAUUUCAGGCAUGUGCCACCAAGCCUGGUUAAUUUUUUUUUUUUUUUUAAUUUUUGCAGAGAUGGAUGUCUCACCAUAUUGACCAGGCUGGCCUCAAACUCCCAAGCUCAAGAGAUCCGCCUGCCUCCUCCUUCCAAGGAGCUUAGAAGCACUUUGCUGUUGUGCUUAACAUCACUCAAGAGGGCACAGUCUUCAAGAGGAACCACUUCCUUUCUUUGUCAACAAAGACUGCCAUAUCAAAAGAGGAUGGACUUUAAGAAACAUUCAAUCAACUCUCCCUUACUGGUUCUCUGAGAAGUUAUUUUAGAGGGUCUACCACUUUUUCAUGACUUCAUGAAAUUCCAGAAGGAUGAAGUUCAAUCAGGUCAUCAUUAUAUAACAACCAAUAGAAGUUUAUCAGUUUUUCUCCCCUGAUAUAAACCCUUUUAUGGAUAGUAAAUAAUUUGAGAGAUAGUUUUUUGUUAUCUUUUCAGGGAUACUAAAUGAGGAAAAUUUAAAUUGUUACAACUAGAAAUACAAUAUGACAAAGAAAAGAUUUAUUUGUAAUUCUGUACUUUUGGGAAAAAAAGUAUAAAGAACAGAUCAGUGCAUAGCAAGGAUAAAUCAAAAGCACAUCACUUUCAAGUAGAUACAUGUGACUUCUCAGGAAGAGACUGGCAAGCUGAAAAUGAAAUAAUACGUGGUAAGGAUGAUAUUACAAGUGAAAAAAGCCAUUGUUGGUGAAAGAAUGCCAAGUUCUUUAAAUACUUACUCGUAAAAACAUAUCAUUUUGGAGGAUAUAUUAAUUUACAACUUAUUUAAUAUUUCAGUACGUUACACUGAAGCUCUUUUUCACAAUUAUUAUUUCUGUUCAAGCCCGCUGUCAGAAAUAAAAGAAGGACUUUUUUUUAUUAUUAUUAUUUUUACUUUUUAAGCAUAGGAAAAAAAAUCUGUAUCAAGGUAAUCAAAUCCAUUGCUCUUGGAGUUUUUUUGGGGGUAGACUUAUCAAAUUCUCAAAGAAAAUUUUCCUAGAACUAAUGGAAUUAGGUUACCUUUGAAUUCUCACCCCAACUUUGAAUAGUGACUAAUUCCUUUCUUUGCUCUUUUGGUGUUUGCAAAGGGGUUCGCAAAAGCCUGAAUUGAUAUAAUUAUUGGCUAGAUUGUUAGAGAUCUAGGCCAGAUGGCUAUGGGUUUCUAAAGUCCCCCUUGCUUGUGGUAGUUUUCCUAGUUUGCCUAUAGGGUUUGGGGAUCAGCAAUUUGAAAGGGCUACAAACUUGUAAAACAGUAUUAUUCAUGGGGGCAGAAUGUUCAUCAGCGUGACCCAGUACUAAAUACAUUCAUUAUAGGCAUUUCUAUUCUGCACAAUUUGCCACACAGCACUGGUUUCAGGAGGGGGAAAAAAAGACAAUGGCUUAUAAAAUGCUUUCGAAUGCCUAAAAAGAAGGAGAAUUCACGCUGAGACUCCUCUGCUUUCUUUUUUGGAAAGAGCCUUCUUAGUGACUUUAGCUGAGCUCUGCUGAGAGUAAGCAAAGUGGAAAAAUCAGAAAAUUACUUUUUUUAUAUGUUUCUGGGGGGCAAAAUAGAGUGGGGAAAAAAAUGGUAAGAAGUGACAAUGAGAUUAUGUGAAACAGCAACUAUGCGAGCGGAUGAAGACAGCUGAGGAAUAAUGCAAAAGGUAUGAAAAAAAAAAAAAAAAAAAAAAACCAGCAAGAAUGGAGCCACGAUGAUACACUUAAAAGGAAUUGCAGAGCAGAAAGAACAUCAUAAAUAAUCUUAUUUUCAAAUAAGAAUAUCAUAUCAGUUUCUGUGACCUGGAUAGAGCACAAGCCUCCCAUGAUACUUCCUAGCAUUUUGAUGCACACAAAAUGCAAUUUUCAGCUCAGGCAUUUGAUUUAUCAGUGUAAACAAGCUUUGGGGUUUUUAAAAUACGUAUCUGAAGUGUUUUCAUAAAUAAUGCAUAUAUUAUAAAAAUUUGACUUGUAAACUAUUGAGUCCAUGUCCCCCCAGUAUUCACUGCGAAGACUAGCCAUGUAUAGGCAGUGCCUUUUGGUAGAAAUUGGCAUGCUAAAGCUUGCAGUGUCUUUUACCCAAGAUAAAUAGGAUUUUUUUUUUGAAGUACAGGACAAAGAAAUAUUACAGUUUUGCCCAAACUCAAGGAAAGAAGUCAUUCAAGGUAGAGCUAUAUUGUUAAUUAGUUCCAAAUUCUGAGGUGCUCCUUUAAGUCUUGCCAAUUAAGAGUAAUCAAGAGUGCAAGAUAGCCCUUUUCUUAUCUUCAAAGAAUAAAGAUGAAAGAAAACAGAAAAUGAAACCUCUUUACUCGUUCUGUUCUUUAAAAACAGAGCCCCAAGACAAUCUGCUUGUGCUCCUAGAAGGAGCAAGGCCCAAGUAUUUACAGAGGGAGUGGGGAAGGAGGCGGUCUGAGAAGCAUAAUUAGAAGCAAGUUUUCAAAUUGUAUUAAAUUCCUCCACCAACAAAACGCACUUAGAGGUAUUUUAAAGUUAAACUAGCACUUAAGGACUAUGAAAAGCAAGAUGAUUACACGUCUGUGGCAGAAGAAAGAGCAAUUAAGAAAACAAGAACAAU